GACGUAGGGGGCGAGCGUUGUCCGGAUUUAUUGGGCGUAAAGCGUGCGUAGGCGGCUGCGCAAGUCGGUUGUGAAACCCCGGGGCUCAACCCCGGAACUGCAUCCGAUACUGCGUGGCUAGAGGUAGGUAGGGGAGAUCGGAAUUCCUGGUGUAGCGGUGAAAUGCGCAGAUAUCAGGAGGAACACCGGUGGCGAAGGCGGUUCUCUGGGCAUGUCCUGACGCUGAGGAGCGAAAGUGUGGGGAGCGAACAGG
rnacentral:rRNA from 1 species